CCCCCUCUAGGUGAUAGAUACAAUCUAGAUAGAUCCUUGGGCUCCUCAAAACUUUCAGUUCCUUAUUUUGCUUAGUUGCAUACCCUUUAUAAAUCAUCUUUUGUCUUUGAUGAUGUUAGUAUUAUGAACAUGAUAAAUGUUGUAAAGAGAGGUUAUGGUUUAAUAUAAAAAGCUUAUAUUUGGAGGAAAUAUUAUGUUCAUUUUGAGAUCAUGUGACAUAUAAAAAAAAUGAUGAAAAGAAUAUAAAUAUAAGAGUUGAAUGCAUGUAAGUGAUUGAAAGUUAAUCCUUAUACUUGUAUAAUGUGUAGUUUAGUACUUUCACUUUUGGCUAUUGCUUGUCCUCGUGUAAGCCAUGCAUAUCUUUGUUCCGCUGUGUAGAAAUUAUAUAUACAUGAUCUAUACUUGUGUUGAGUCUUAGGCGGACAGGAGAGGUGCUGUCUGUUCGGCAUCUGUUCGAUAGACCCGAACCGACCAAAUGGGCCGGUCCUGGGGGGUGACAAAUAUAAUGGUAUCAGAGCCUAAAAGUGAAAGUAUAGGAUGGACCUAGAGACCCUUAGGAAUGGAAAACCUUAAGAAUUUAGAAAAUAUGAGUGACGUAGAAUCAAAGUAUAGCGAAAGCUUCAUGAUUGGGUUAAUGUUAGUAAGUCUCUAAUGUUGUUAGGGGUUAAUCCAAGUUGAUAUUCGUUCUCUACUUCUUGUGUUGUGUUCGGCGGCCGACGACAUAAUGCUUUGGAAUGAGAAUGAAUACACUUGUUUGCUUUCGCCGGAUUGGGUUUGUUUGAGUCUGUUGGUCGUGUAACUAACAUCAAUUGCUACAUUUCAGGAAGCGAUGCCUCGUGGUAGACCCCGAACAAGGUCGAGGCCAGAGGAGCCGAAUGCGGCCCCCGAGCAAUCCGGAGCAAGUGGCGACGGGAAGCUUCGGGAGCAAGUGUCCGCGCUUAUUGGAGUAGUGCGCCAACAAGCGGAAUCCGUUCAACGCCAGGGGAAGCAGAUUCAAAGGCUUCAAGAGGCCUUGGAGCGACAGCAGGUGACGGCGGCUCAAAUGAGGGCCGAGCACCCUGCACCCCCUGUAGUCGUGCCGACUAUGGUGGAGGGCAUGGCCGCGGCGGCUGUGCCAGUCACGGCGGUGCCGGCCGGUUCGGAAACCUCAAAUCCCGAUAGUGCGGCGGCAGAGGCAGAGCGAGAGCGUGCACUUGCAGCUCUCGUUAUGUUCAAGAAAUUCAACCCACCCGUGUUCGACGGGGAGAAAGUGGAGCCGUCGAUGGUGGAGUCAUGGAUUGACUCGAUGGAGACGCUCUUCAAGGAUAUUUAUACCUUGGAGAAGGACAAGGUGCACCUCGCCACCCAUUGUUUGGAGAAGGCGGCGAAGGUGUGGUGGAAGCGGGUGAAGCGCGAUCGAUCCCCCGACCAUCCGCCUACGAUUUGGGAGGAGUUCCGGAGGUUAAUGUUCGCGAACUACCUCCCCGAUACCAAGAAGCGGAAGUUGCAAGAUAAAUUCCGCAAGUUAAGGCAAGGUGAUCGAUCGGUGGGGGACUAUGAGCAAGAGUUCUCCCACAUUAUCGAUUGCAUCCUGGAGGUUGUUCGAGAUGACCGGGAUCGGGCCGACUGGUUCUUGUGAGGACUUCGGCCAGAGAUUUAUAAGGCCGUGCAAUUGUUCAAGCUCACGACCUUUGCGGAGGUCGUCGCUCGAGCGUUCUGGGCGGAGCACGGCAAUGCCUACGCGCGAGAAGAGCGCGGGUCUAUGGACAAGGAAAGAGACAAAGGCAAGAAGCGGACUGCGAGUGGUGCUGAGGGCCGGUCGCAUGCAAAGAAGUACCCUUGGUAUCCCCGGCAGCAGUCGAGGAGUUGGAGGUCUUCUCAUUGUGCUAUUUACGACCGUGAUAAUCGACCGUCGGGAUGCCUGCAGCGCGAUGGAAAGUGUUACAAGUGCAGCCAAGCGGGCAUAUGGCCCGGGAGUACCCGAGUUGGACGUCGUCUACACCGACGGCCGCAUCAGUUCCUUCUACCCCGAGACAGCUCGCGGGGUUGCCACCGGCUAUGUCGGCUCGACGCGCAUCAGCACUGCAUCAGCCGGAGGGAUCUCGAGCACCGAGUGGGCCAGUUUUUACCACUAAGGUGGAGGAGCCUACAGUUCCAGAUGAUGUGGUGGCAAGUAUUAUUUUAAUUAAAGGCACUAGAGCUAUAGCAUUAUUCGACAUAGGUGCAUCCUAUUCAUGCAUCAGUGCAUUAUUUGCAAAAGCUCAUGGCAUUGAUGCAUUAUAUAGCCCGGAUUGUUGGUGGGUUGAGGCACCAGAACAUUCAUUUAGUGUUCACGAGGAGUGCUUGGCUUGCCUAGUUCAUAUAGGUGAUUGGAUUAUACUGGAAGAUUUGCUAGUGCUAAACCAAAUAUAGGGCUUCAAUGUAAUCUUGGGGAUCGAUUGGUUCUCCAAGUAUUAUGCAGUUAUUGAUUGUGAGAGCAAGGUGAUCACUUUCUAUGAGCCUAAUCAAGAGGAGUUAGUAUAUCGAGCAUAUAAAAGCUCGUGCCUCGCGGCGAUCGUAUCGACGGUGAGGGCGAGAAAAAUGAUUAAAGGCGGAUGUGUGGCCUAUUUGGCGAUGAUGGUAGAGACUCGAAGGGAGCACCUGGAACUUGGGGGCAUCCGACUAGCAUGCGAGUUUCCGGAUGUAUUUUCGGUGGAAUUACCGGGAUUGCCACCGGAUUGGGAGAUCGAGUUCGUCAUUGACUUGGUUCCCGGGGUGGUGCCAGUUUCGAAGGCUCCAUAUAGAAUGGCACCAGUGGAGCUAGUAGAGUUGAAGGCUCAGUUGCAAGAAUUGCUCGAUAAAGGCUUUGUGAGGCCAAGCGUGUCACCGUGGGGAGCUCCGGUGCUAUUUGUGAAGAAAAAGGAUGGCACACUUCGACUCUGCGUGGAUUAUCUUGAGUUGAACAAAGUGACAAUCAAGAACAAGUACCCGUUGCCGAGCAUUGAUGAUUUGUUCAAUCAGUUGCAAGGGUCGCGGGUAUAUUCGAAAAUUGAUCUCCAAUUGGGAUAUCAUCAGUUGAAGAUCCAGCCAAAGGAUGUGCACAAAGCGGCGUAUCGUACGCGGUAUGGCCACUACGAGUUCACGGUAAUGCCGUUUGGGCUUACUAAUGCCCCGGCAUUAUUUAUAGACUUGAUGAAUCGGGUCUUUCAACCAUUGUUGGAUCGAUGCGUCGUGGUGUUCAUUGACGACAUGUUGGUUUAUUCACGGAGCGAGGAGGAACACGAGGAACAUUUUAGGACCGUGUUGCAAAUACUCCAAAAAGACAAGCUUUAUGCCAAGUUAAAGAAAUGUGACUUUUGGCUUUUGGAUGUCAGUUUCUUAGGCCAUGUAAUAUCCGAGAGUGGUGUCUUGGUGGAUCCAAAGAAAGUUGAGGUAAUUAAGGAUUGGCCUCGCCCGACAAGUAUAGCGGAAGUCCGCAGUUUUCUUGGACUUGCGGGAUACUAUCGGCGGUUCGUGGAGGGGUUUGUCAAAAUAACCACUCCACUAACGCGCCUUACGCACAAACGAGUGAAGUAUGUUUGGAGCGACGAUUGCGAUCGGAGCUUCGAGGAGUUGAAAGAAAGGUUGACGUCGACCCCGGUGCUUGCUCUACCGACGCCGGGGGAGAGCUUUGUAGUGUACAGUGAUGCCUCGUAUAUUGGUCUCGGGUGUGUUUUGAUGCAAAAUGGGCGAGUCAUCAUAUAUGCUUCGCGCCAAUUGAAGAGUUAUGAAAAGAACUACCCGAUUCACAAUCUUAAGCUAGCCGCGGUGAUAUUCGCGCUAAAGUUGUGGAGGCAUUUCUUGUACGGUGAGCAUUGUGAGAUUUACACGGAUCAUAAGAAUCUCAAAUACUUGUUCACCCAUAAAGAAUUGAAUAUGCGACAGCGGCGGUGGUUAGAGUUGCUAAAAGAUUAUGAUGUUAUUAUUCUAUACCAUCCGGGAAAGGCCAAUGUCGUGGCCGAUGCACUAAGUAGAAAACCGGUGGAAAACUUGGCUACGGCAAUCACACCCCAACCGUCAUUGCAAAAAGAGAUGCAACUAUUUGGUCUAAAAGUAGUAGCUCCGGGAGUGCCAGCUACUCUUGCCGCAUUCGUUGUGCAACCAAUCUUGUUGGACAGGAUUAAAGAUCAACAAGCUUCUGAUCCAUACCUCCAAAAGGUGCAGGGUGAAGUUGAGAGCGGUAGUACUGAUGAUUUCAGUAUUGGGACCGAUGGCGCACUUCGAUUCCAAAAUCGUUGGUGUGUGCUUAAAAAUGAAGACAUUUGAAAGGCGAUUAUGCAAGAAGCGCAUCAAUCUCCCUAUAGCAUACCCGAGCGGCACUAAGAUGUAUCAAGAUUUGAAAUUGCAUUAUUGGUGGCCGGGCAUGAAGAAAGAUAUUGGGGAGUUCGUAGCGCAAUGUCUCACGUGCCAACAAGUAAAAGCGGAGCGCUGGUUUCUGGUGGAAAAGCUUCAAAGUUAAUCUAUACCCGUUUGGAAAUGGGAAGAUAUUGCAAUGGAUUUUGUGACCGGUUUCUCUCGAUCUCAAGCCGGGCAUUAUGCGAUUUAGGUGGUUGUGGACCGGUUGACGAAGUCGGCACAUUUUUUGCCGGUCCACACCACAUGCUCCGAAAACAAAUUGGCUCAAGUGUAUCUCGAUAAGGUUGUGAGACUACAUGGGGUUCCGGUGUCCAUUGUAUCGGAUCGAGAGCCUAGAUUCACAUCACACUUUUGGAAUAGCUUACAAAACGCAUUGGCCACACGGCUCGAUUUUAGCACGACAUUUCAUCCUCAAAGUGAUGACCAAUCGGAGAGAACAAUACAAAUUCUUGAGGACAUGCUUCGAGCGUGUGUACUUGAUUAUAAGGGCGGACGACACGAUUAUUUACCGAUGGCGGAAUUCGCGUACAACAAUAGCUACCAAGAGAGUAUCGCGAUGGCACCAUUCAAGGCCCUUUAUGGAAAGAAGUGUCGCUCUCCUAUUCAUUGGAGAGAUGUGGGCGAGAAAGUUACUCUUGGCCCUGAUGUGGUGCGGGAGGCGGAAGAGAAAGUUCACCUUGCCCGCCAACGACUUGCGACGGUGCAAUCUCGGCAAAAGUGCUAUGCCGACAAGCGGAGAAAGGAUUUAUAGUUCGCGGUUGGAGAGCGCAUAUUUUUUAAAGUAUCGCCGAUGUAAGGAGUAAAGCAGUUUGGAGUCCGUGGGAAAUAAAGUCCCCGGUAUGUUAGACCGUUCGAGAUAUUGGAGCGGGUCGGUGUGCUAUUGAACAGGGGGUGUGCCAGUGAUGCCCUCCCACAUACCGGUACGCAGGCUGCGAAACAGCAGGUUGAGUCUGCUGCUGUCACGCCCGGGUACCAGCGGAAGCAUAUCCGAUACGUGCACAGACCCGCCAUACACCUGCAGUAUAUAAGGCGUCUACAAGCAACAAGUCGAUAGGAAGUAAAACAAGAAAGUCCUAUCCUGAUAUCAGAGCAAAGUACAAGUCGAUAUACAACGAGUAUCCAAUCCAAGUCAAUAUACAAAGAGUAUACAAUCCAAGAUCUCAGCAAAAAAGAGAAGUAACACCACUAUAAUCUCAACCCCGCAAGUAAAAAUACAUCANGCCACGUUUCUGCAUUGUGUACCGGUACAAGCGAAUGGCUGUACCGGUACAGCAAGCAGAAAAAGCUGAUUUUCGCCGGUUCAAUGCAAUUUCUUGUUUCCAACGUUCCGAUCACUCUCAAACUUAUGUGUAAACAUCUUUAAACCAUUAUGAACAUGUGGGAGGGUUGCACAUAUCAUUCCUCACACUCGAAUUUCGCAAUUUGCAAAAAUUCAGUGUAUUACAGCUGCAAAUAAAAGAGAGUGGAGGGCUUGGUUGCAAUUGUAGCAGCUUAUAAAUAUACCCCAACCCUUUCCCUCUUGUUCACAGCAGUGAACACCUCCUCCUCUCUCAUUUCUCUCUCUCUCUCUCUAGAAGCUCCCCCCAAGGUUAAAGAAGGAGAUCAAGAGCAAGAUUUGGAGGAGAUUUGGACUUUUGGAGGAUCUAGGGCUCUCCUAAAAGGUGGAGCUUGGUGGGCAUCUAGGCUAAGGUGAGGUUUCUUGUAAGAACUAGGCUAGGGUUUGGUUUUAUACCCUAGAACACUUGGUUUUGAUCUUCUUACAUGAGAGGAAACCUAGUAGAGAUCAUGGAACUCAUGAAAAUCCAUGUUUCUUCAUGAGCUCUCAUGGUAAAAAUCUAGGGUUUGUUUUAUAUGCCCUAAGAAUGGUUUAAAUGACCUAGAAAUGGUUCUAUAUAAGUUUCUAGAUGAUGAUUAAGCUUGCUUUAGCUUAUAUUAGAGAUUAGAUUGGUGUAUUGGGCAAAUGACAUUGUUAGGGCACCAAAAUUGGAAUUUUUGCCCUAAGCUGGUUUAAAGGUAAAUUGACCUUAUAGAGAUCAAAUUGGGAAUAUUUCCAACUCGUUGGAAGACUCGGUUCGCCGAUUCGACGAGUCUACGCAAAGUUAUAAGGAAAAAGCCUAAUUUGGCUUCGUUUUGCCGCAGGCGAGAGAAUAGGCGCCCAAAAAUCACGAAACUUGAACCGUAGCACCUUUACAACCAUACGAAGUAGGUGGUGCUUUCUGAAAUCCUCGAAUUUUUUUUUAUAUGUAAAAUGUCAUUUCUUGAGCAUAUGCGUAUAUUGAGCAUUAUGCAUUGUAGGGUAAGUAUAUAUGAUUGCAUGAUUUAAGUAUAAGAUGCAUAUAAAAUGUUGUGAAUUCUUGAGAACGUGUAAAACCCUAUGUAUGCAUGAAUGGUGACAAAGGCCUAGAUGACAUUGAGAACAAAUGACAUUAUGACAUCGAUAGUAGAGUGACAUCAAUAAGUUUUGUGACAUUAUGACAUCGAUAGUCGAGUGCAUCAAUGAGUUUUGAAUGUUAGUGUACAGUGUGGCAUUAAUGAGUAUUGAAUGCUAGAAAUAAACACUUAGUGUGUGUGGCAUUAACGAGUCAAGAAUGCAUGAGAUUGAGUAUAAAGAACAUGUAGUGUAUAUGACACUAAUAAAAGUUAAAGAAUGCAAGAAAAUGGCAUAUAUGGCAUAACAACCUCAAAGUUGAGGCAUCCAUAUAGUUAAAGAACGGAUUGAACUUGGCAUCCUUAAAGUUAAGGUUAGAUCAUACUCAUCUAUAAGUCUUGGCUUGAGGGUGGUCGCACCUCCUCGAGCGAUGAGCUCCGAAGUAGUCAUCACUGGAUUGUAGCGAGUAUCUCCCCAAGGGACGGUCUCGUCGGGUCGAAGCAAGUAUCUCCCCGAUAGUACGGAUUUGAGUUGGUGAGUCUAUUGAGGGCGAAACCAAUGAGUUAGCCAAGAGGAUUAAGAAUUGAAAAGUAAUCUUGCAUUCAUCAUGAGAAUUCUAUUUGAGCAUAGCAUGGAUUAUAUCUUGUUCAGGCAUAUUAGCUGCAUUUGUUUAGUUAGUUACUAUCUAUCUCUAUUCUUCUAUUAUGCCUGAUUUAGACCUAGUGAGAAAGUCGGUGAGGUCGACGGCCGAACCCACUGGGAAUCUUGUUGUAGUUCUCACCCUACUAUUUCCACAGAGCCGGGACUGAGUGAGCCGGCCGACGAUCGCGGUAAAGGUAUCGUGCCAUAGACAGUGGCCACCCGAGUUGGUUUCAUAUUUUGCUUAGUUGCAUACCCUUUUUAUAUCAUCUUUUGUCUUUGAUGAUGUUAGUAUUAUGAACAUGAUAAAUGAUGUAAAGAGAGCUUAUGGUUUAAUAUAAAAAGCUUGUAUUUUGGAGGAAAUAUUAUGCUUAUUUUGAGAUCAUGUGAUGUAUAAAAGAAAUGAUGAAAAGAAUGUGAAUGUAAGAGUUGAAUGCAUGUAAGUGAUUGAAAGUUAAUCAUUGUACUUGUAUAAUGUGCAGUUUAGUACUUUCACUU
rnacentral:lncRNA from 1 species